rnacentral:rRNA from 1 species
UACGGAGGGUGCAAGCGUUAAUCGGAAUUACUGGGCGUAAAGCGUGCGCAGGCGGUUGUGCAAGACAGAUGUGAAAUCCCCGGGCUUAACCUGGGAACUGCAUUUGUGACUGCACGGCUAGAGUGUGUCAGAGGGGGGUAGAAUUCCACGUGUAGCAGUGAAAUGCGUAGAUAUGUGGAGGAAUACCGAUGGCGAAGGCAGCCCCCUGGGAUAACACUGACGCUCAUGCACGAAAGCGUGGGGAGCAAACAGG